AACGAACGCUGGCGGCAUGCCUAACACAUGCAAGUCGAACGAGACCUUCGGGUCUAGUGGCGCACGGGUGCGUAACGCGUGGGAACCUGCCUUUAGGUUCGGAAUAACUCAGAGAAAUUUGAGCUAAUACCGGAUAAUGUCUUCGGACCAAAGAUUUAUCGCCUUUAGAUGGGCCCGCGUUGGAUUAGCUAGUUGGUGGGGUAAAGGCCUACCAAGGCGACGAUCCAUAGCUGGUCUGAGAGGAUGAUCAGGCACACUGGGACUGAGACACGGCCCAGACUCCUACGGGAGGCAGCAGUGGGGAAUAUUGGACAAUGGGCGAAAGCCUGAUCCAGCAAUGCCGCGUGAGUGAUGAAGGCCUUAGGGUUGUAAAAGGACUCUUUUUACCCGAGAUGAUAAUGACAGUAUCGGGAGAAUAAGCUCCGGCUAACUCCGUGCCAGCAGCCGCGGU
rnacentral:rRNA from 1 species